rnacentral:rRNA from 1 species
AUUGAACGCUGGCGGCAGGCCUAACACAUGCAAGUCGAGCGGAGCGGCGGACGGGUGAGUAAUGCCUAGGAAUCUGCCUGGUAGUGGGGGAUAACGUCCGGCAACGGGCGCUAAUACCGCAUACUAUCAGCUGAGCCUAGGUCGGAUUAGCUAGUUGGUGGGGUAAAGGCCUACCAAGGCGACGAUCCGUAACUGGUCUGUGAGGAUGAUCAGUCACAAUGGAAAUUAGACACGGUCCAGAACCCUACGGGAGGGAGAAGGUGGGAAUAUUGGAAAAUGGGGGAAAGCCUGAUCCAGCCAAGCCGCGUGUGUGAAGAAGGGCUUCGGAUUGGAAAGCACUUUAAGGUGGGAGGCGUUACCAACAGAAUAAGCACCGGCUAACUUCGUGCCAGCAGCCGCGGUAAUACC